rnacentral:rRNA from 1 species
GCGGCGUGCCUAAUACAUGCAAGUCGAACGAGUUCUCGCUGAUGAUCGGUGCUUGCACCGAGAUUCAACAUGGAACGAGUGGCGGACGGGUGAGUAACACGUGGGUAACCUGCCCUUAAGUGGGGGAUAACAUUUGGAAACAGAUGCUAAUACCGCAUAGAUCCAAGAACCGCAUGGUUCUUGGCUGAAAGAUGGCGUAAGCUAUCGCUUUUGGAUGGACCCGCGGCGUAUUAGCUAGUUGGUGAGGUAAUGGCUCACCAAGGCGAUGAUACGUAGCCGAACUGAGAGGUUGAUCGGCCACAUUGGGACUGAGACACGGCCCAAACUCCUACGGGAGGCAGCAGUAGGGAAUCUUCCACAAUGGACGCAAGUCUGAUGGAGCAACGCCGCGUGAGUGAAGAAGGCUUUCGGGUCGUAAAACUCUGUUGUUGGAGAAGAAUGGUCGGCAGAGUAACUGUUGUCGGCGUGACGGUAUCCAACCAGAAAGCCACGGCUAACUACGUGCCAGCAGCCGCGGUAAUACGUAGGUGGCAAGCGUUAUCCGGAUUUAUUGGGCGUAAAGCGAGCGCAGGCGGUUUUUUAAGUCUGAUGUGAAAGCCCUCGGCUUAACCGAGGAAGCGCAUCGGAAACUGGGAAACUUGAGUGCAGAAGAGGACAGUGGAACUCCAUGUGUAGCGGUGAAAUGCGUAGAUAUAUGGAAGAACACCAGUGGCGAAGGCGGCUGUCUGGUCUGUAACUGACGCUGAGGC